UAGAGUUUGAUCAUGGCUCAGGACGAACGCUGGCGGCGCGCUUAAUACAUGCAAGUCGAGCGAGAACCAGGGCUUCGGCCCUGGGGACAGCGGCGAACGGGUGAGUAACACGUGGGUAAUCAACCCCCGACACCGGGAUAGCCCAGGGAAACUUGGAUUAAUACCGGAUGCUCCGUCUGGCCUUCGGGCCGGCCGGAAAAGGGUAGCUUCGGCCUCCGGUCGGGGACGAGCCCGCGGCGGAUUAGCUUGUUGGUGGGGUAAAGGCCCACCAAGGCGACGAUCCGUAGCUGGUCUGAGAGGACGAUCAGCCACACUGGGACUGAGACACGGCCCAGACUCCUACGGGAGGCAGCAGUAGGGAAUCUUGCGCAAUGGGCGAAAGCCUGACGCAGCGACGCCGCGUGAGGGAAGAAGGCCUUCGGGUUGUAAACCUCUUUCAGGAGGGACGAAGCCACUCGGGUUAAUAGCCCAGAGGGUGACGGUACCUCCAGAAGAAGCCCCGGCUAACUACGUGCCAGCAGCCGCGGUA
rnacentral:rRNA from 1 species